rnacentral:rRNA from 1 species
GAUGAACGCUGGCGGCGUGCCUAAUACAUGCAAGUCGAGCGAACAGACGAGGAGCUUGCUCCUCUGACGUUAGCGGCGGACGGGUGAGUAACACGUGGAUAACCUACCUAUAAGACUGGGAUAACUUCGGGAAACCGGAGCUAAUACCGGAUAAUAUAUUGAACCGCAUGGUUCAAUAGUGAAAGACGGUUUUGCUGUCACUUAUAGAUGGAUCCGCGCCGCAUUAGCUAGUUGGUAAGGUAACGGCUUACCAAGGCAACGAUGCGUAGCCGACCUGAGAGGUGAAUGGGCAAAACUGAAAUUGAGAAAGGGCCAAGAUCCUAAGGGGAGGCAGAAUAGGGAAUCUUCCGCAAUGGGCGAAAGCCUGACGGAGCAACGCCGCGUGAGUGAUGAAGGUCUUCGGAUCGUAAAACUCUGUUAUUAGGGAAGAACAAAUGUGUAAGUAACUAUGCACGUCUUGACGGUACCUAAUCAGAAAGCCACGGCUAACUACGUG